rnacentral:rRNA from 1 species
UGGGGAAUAUUGCACAAUGGGGGAAACCCUGAUGCAGCGACGCCGCGUGGAGGAAGAAGGUCUUCGGAUUGUAAACUCCUGUCCUAGGGGACGAUAAUGACGGUACCCUGGGAGGAAGCACCGGCUAACUACGUGCCAGCAGCCGCGGUAAAACGUAGGGUGCAAGCGUUGUCCGGAAUUACUGGGUGUAUAGGGAGCGCAGGCGGAUUGGCAAGUUGGGAGUGAAAUCUAUGGGCUCAACCCAUAAAUUGCUUUCAAAGCUGUCAGUCUUGAGUGGUGUAGAGGUAGGCGGAAUUGCCGGUGUAGGGGUGGAAUGCGUAGAUAGCGGGAGGAACACCAGUGGCGAAGGCGGCCUACUGGGCACUAACUGACGCUGAGGCUCGAAAGCAUGGGUAGCAAACAGG